UACGUAGGGUGCGAGCGUUAAUCGGAAUUACUGGGCGUAAAGCGUGCGCAGGCGGUUCGCUGUGUCGGCGGUGAAAGCCCCGGGCUCAACCUGGGAACUGCAUUUGUGACUGCAUCGCUGGAGUGCGGCAGAGGGGGAUGGAAUUCCGCGUGUAGCAGUGAAAUGCGUAGAUAUGCGGAGGAACACCGAUGGCGAAGGCGGCUACCUGGAUUGACACUGACACUGAGGCGCGAGAGCGUGGGGAGCAAACAGG
rnacentral:rRNA from 1 species